UACAGAGGUCUCAAGCGUUGUUCGGAUUCAUUGGGCGUAAAGGGUGCGUAGGCGGCGCGGUAAGUCGGGUGUGAAAUCUCGGGGCUUAACUCCGAAACUGCAUUCGAUACUGCCGUGCUUGAGGACUGGAGAGGAGACUGGAAUUUACGGUGCAGCAGUGAAAUGCGUAGAUAUCGGGAGGAACAUCUGUGGCGAAGGCGACACCCUGGACCAGCACUGACACUGAGGCACGAAAGCGUGGGGAGCAAACAGG
rnacentral:rRNA from 1 species